rnacentral:lncRNA from 1 species
UGAGAACUAUUAAAAAUAGUUCUCAGUGGGCAAUUAUUGACUUCAAUGAACUGCGCCACAAGGCCCAAAAGCUAUAAAGAGGAGGUCAGUGACAAAAAUGUAGUAAAGCAAAAGGUAAGUAAAAUGUGACUCAUUAUAGCAUAAUGUCUCUAUUUAGCAUGAUUUGCAUAAGUAAUAAAGCAACUAUAACAUGAAUGUACAUGGAUGUGUAUAACAUGAAUAAGCAUAAGUAUGCAACCAAUACGAUGUCCUCAAGCAAAUAGUAAAGAUGUCAUUGUUUACUAUUCUAGUCAAUGUACUAAGUCAUCAUCUGUCCACAUGUCAUAGUGAAUACUCAAAGUCAAUUUUGGAGAGACCCACCCGAAGGCUGUCUAUGGCCCUGAGACCCACCCGUAGGCUGUCUGGCCGAUGCCGAGCCUAAUGGCCCCGUGGUAGUCAUCACCCCCACCCUAGGAAUGAGCCUGGCCCACGGCAAUCCACUUCGGCGCCCAAUCCCGCACGGCGAAUAUGAAUCGCGAUGGCUAUCUCCGGAGUGCCGGCUUGUAGGGAGCGACCCUCACAAGCAUGUGCGAAUGAGCACAAUGGCAAGUAGUCAUACGUCCUGUCACAAGUACCAAGUCCUCA